rnacentral:rRNA from 1 species
AACGAACGCUGGCGGCAUGCCUAACACAUGCAAGUCGAACGAGACCUUCGGGUCUAGUGGCGCACGGGUGCGUAACGCGAGGGAACCUGCCCUUAGGUUCGGAAUAACUCCCCGAAAGGGGUGCUAAUAGCGGAUAAUGUCUUCGGACCAAAGAUUUAUCGCCUUUGGAUGGGCCCGCGUUGGAUUAGCUGGUUGGUAGGGUAAAAGCCUACCAAGGCGACGAUCCAUAGCUGGGUAGAGAGGAAGGUCAGCCACACUGGGACUGGGACGCGGCCCGGACUCCUACGGGAGGCAGCAGUGGGGAAUAGAGGACAGUGGGGGAAGGCCUGAUCCAGCUAUGCCGCGUGAGUGAUGAAGGCCUUAGGGUUGUAAAGCGCUUUUAACCGGGAUGAUAAUGACAGUACCGGGAGAAUAAGCUCCGGCUAACUCCGUG